UCUCUGGAGGACUAGUGGUUAGGCCUCAACACUCGCACCCCCGCAGCCCGGGUUCAAUUCCUGGCCAGGGAA